GAUGAACGCUGGCGGCGUGCCUAAUACAUGCAAGUCGAGCGAACGGACGAGAAGCUUGCUUUUCUGAUGUUAGCGGCGGACGGGUGAGUAACACGUGGAUCACCUACCUAAAAGACUGGGAUAACUUCGGGACACCGGAUCUAAUCCCGGAUAAUAUUUUGAUCCGCAUGGUUCAAAAGUGAAAGACGGUCUUGCUGUCACUUAUAGAUGGAUCUGCGCUGCAUUAGCUAGUUGGUAAGGUAACGGCUUACCAAGGCAACGAUGCAUAGCCGACCUGAGAGGGGGAUAGGCCACACUGGAACGUAGACACGGUCCAGACGCCUGCGGGAGGCAGCAGUAGGGAAUCUUCCGCAGUGGGCGAAAACCUGACGGAGCGACGCCGCGUGAGUUAUGGAGGUCUUCGGAGCGGAAAACUCUGUUAUGAGUGAAGAACAUAUGUGUAAGUAACUGUGCACAUCUUGACGGUACCGAAUCAGAAAGCCACGGCUAACUACGUG
rnacentral:rRNA from 1 species